AGUCCCUUAGGGUAGUGGCCAAUCCUGCGAGACUCUGGAUCUUGCGACAGCGGUUCAACUCCGCUAGGGACUA
rnacentral:tRNA from 1 species